rnacentral:lncRNA from 1 species
UUUGUUUUGUUGCAAUCUUUUAAUGUAUCACAUAGUAAAUAUGCUACCAGCUUGCAAUGUAUUACAAAUAUGUUGUCAAAUUUUACUGUGUGAUCUCACAGAAUUUUACAUACAUUCAAACAUUUAUCUCUUGUAGGUUAGAUAAUUUUGAGCAAAUAGUGUAUAACACUGAUGUAAUCUUGGAUUUUAAAGUCUUCAUAAAAAGUAUUAUCAUGGUGGUAAUAUCACUACUAUAUUCAGUAUAGAACACAAAAAUGUUUGAUUUCUCUUUGAUUUUCAUUUAAAUAUUCAUGAGAUAAAAAAAAAGUUGAUCUCAUCUAAAUACAUUUCAAUUAAAGUUUGUAAUUGAUUAAAACAUAUCCCUUACAGAUCUCAAAGUUACAACAAAGGACAUCAAAUAUGAAAAAAAUAGGUGAUCAGCUAAAAUGUUUUAUGUGAAUAGAAAAAAAGCUGUCUUUUCUUCAAAAGUAAGAAAAUUUUCAUUCACAUGAUUUAGGUUAUUUUUCUAAGAUUGAUUUUUUGGUUAAGUAAAUUAGUUCAACCAUGAGGUUAAUCCUGAUGAAAAUAACAUCUACAGAGAGUAUUAUUCUGUUUUGAUUUUAAUAAAUCCCUGAUUCACACACUAACUCACUCAUUCUAUUCAUGACACUAUCAAUCAUUAACAUGUAGGAUGUUCUGAAUAAGUUUGUCAUUAUGUUAAUAUUUCAGACAUUAUUGGCAGAUAUGACUCAUUUGAGAUCCAUGCUGCAGUCUGUAUAGGGAAAGCAUAAUUGUGCUUGCAAGCAAAAAAAAAAUAUGAACUGAUAUGGAUAUAUGUAAAUGGAUUCAAAAUAGCAUACACAAACAUAUAAAACAACUUAAAAAAAUAACAAGAAAGACAGAAAUGAUAGAUCACAGGUCUAUGUUGAAACAAAAUUUACUGUUUACUAUGACUACAUAUGUUAUUGUGAGAAAGCAAAAAAAAUAUUGAGAUUCUAAUAUUUUGUUCAAAAUGCCAUAAUGGACUAUAAAUCAGGUAUGAGAUUCAUAUACAUAAAUGCAAAUAAAUUGAAAAAUAAACAGCUGCGCCAUGAGCGCAUGAUACGCCUGACGUCUUGUGUGUAAGUUUUAUGCAAUAAUCAUAAAUAGUUUCUGAGAAAGUUUUAAGCAAUAACCAUAUAUUGUUUUUGAGACACGGCGGGACAUGUGAAACCCACCACCCUGUUUUUUUUUUUUACAAAAACUAAAUAUCAAUAAAAAUAAAAUUUUGAAUCAAAACUAAAAAGUAUACAGAUCUUUAGAUUAAUAUAACAAAGAAGUGUGUAAAGUUUUAAGCAAUAAUCAUAAAUUAUUUUUGAGAUAGGGUGUGACAUGUGAAAAAAAACACCUCCCCUGUUUUACAAAAUACUCAAUAACUCAGAAAUAAAAUUUUGAAUCAUCACCAAAAAGUAUACUGAUCUUUAGAUUAAUAUAACAAAGAAGUGUGUAAAGUUUUAAGCAAUAAUUAUAAAUUUGUUUCUGAGAUACGGCACAACAUGUAAAAAACCCCUCCCCCUUUUUUACAAAAUACUCAACAACUCAAAAACGAAAUUUUGAAUCAUCACCAAAAAGUAUACAGAUCUUUAGAUUAAUAUAACAAAGACAUGUGUAAAGUUUUAAGCAAUAAUCAUAAAUCGUUUUUGAGAUAUGGCGCGACAUGUAAAAAAAAAACCUCCCCCUUUUUUACAAAAUACUCAAUAACUCAAAAAUGAAAUUUUGAAUCAUCACCAAAAAGUAUACAGAUAUUAAGAUUAAUAUAACUAAGAAGUGUUUAAAGUUUUAAGCCAUAAUCAAGAAUCGUUUUUGAGAUAUGGUGCGACAUGUGAAAAAAAAACCACACCCCUGUUUUAGUUACAAAGUGCCGUAACUCAAAAAGUUUUAAUCUCAUUUUCACCAAAAAGUAUACAGAUCAUUUGACCAUCAUAAGAAACAAUUAUAUUAAGUUUCAUGAAAUUUGGAUAAGUCGUUCUCAAGUUACGGUGCGACAUGUUUACGCCGGACAGACAGACGGACAGACACCGGACAUUUGUAUACCAUAAUACGUCCCGUCAAAAUUUUGAUGGGCGUAUAAUAAGCAGAAGAUUGCAAAGGAGAAAAACAUACCACAGCAAAACUCAACAAAUAACAUAUAAAAUUGAGAAAGGAAAUGGUGAAUAUGUCAAAGCGACAACCACCCGACCAUAGAGCAAACAACAGCCGAAGGCAACCAAUGGGUCUUCAAUGUAGCGAGAAUUCCCGCACCCGUAGGUGUCCUUCAGCUGGCCCCUAAAAUAUGCAUAAUAGUACAGUGAUAAUGGACG